rnacentral:lncRNA from 1 species
CAAAAUUCAUGAACCAAGCAAAAUCUAUCAACACAACAACACAUGUCGACCAACUAUAUACUUAGAAGACAAACUGACGAUUAAGCCAUCUCGAUAGCUAAUCCCAAUUCGGCGCAACGUCGAGAACGGCGAAAUUGCACCCUCGCCCAGCCUUCUCGCGAUGCUACGACGACGAACGUACACUCGAACGGCACCGCGGCGCGACGUCGGCGAAACUCCAACACCACCCAAGCUCCUCCGCCGCACGUACGACCAAGCUCAAGAGAGAGAGAGAGCACAACUAAAACAUCUCCUCUCUUCUUCUCUCUAUCCUAUAUAG